GAUGAACGCUGGCGGCGUGCCUAAUACAUGCGAGUCGAGCGAACGGACGAGAAGCUUGCUUCUCUGAUGUUAGCGGCGGACGGGUGAGUAACACGUGGAUAACCUACCUAUAAGACUGGGAUAACUUCGGGAAACCGGAGCUAAUACCGGAUAAUAUUUUGAACCGCAUGGUUCAAAAGUGAAAGACGGUCUUGCUGUCACUUAUAGAUGGAUCCGCGCUGCAUUAGCUAGUUGGUAAGGUAACGGCUUACCAAGGCAACGAUGCAUAGCCGACUUGAGAGGGUGAUCGGCCACACUGGAACUGAGACACGGUCCAGACUCCUACGGGAGGCAGCAGUAGGGAAUCUUCCGCAAUGGGCGAAAGCCUGACGGAGCAACGCCGCGUGAGUGAUGAAGGUCUUCGGAUCGUAAAACUCUGUUAUUAGGGAAGAACAUAUGUGUAAGUAACUGUGCACAUCUUGACGGUACCUAAUCAGAAAGCCACGGCUAACUACGUG
rnacentral:rRNA from 1 species